GCUUGAUAUUUUCAAUCGUUUACUACACCUGAAGUGUCCACACCCACCAUAAAUACCUACCUGAAUAUAUUUUUGUAGUUCUUUUACAUAUUCCUCUCUUCUAGAAUUUGUUUGACAGUGACUUACUAUCCAUGCUAUAUAUUUAUGUUUCUCCUUGAAAAUUUUAGUAUAAUUCAACUUCUUCUGAUUUUCUUUCUUAGCCAAAACCCCGAAUUGUAGGCUAAUAUCAGAUCCAGGUCGAUACGACAUUACCCAAUCAAAUUUGGACAUCGAUUUUUCCAAGGCAAUGUUUGGCGGAGGAAACAUGUAUUUAGGUGAUUCGUUUGUAAAAUAAACCCAUAUCUGGCCAGCUAGUUUUCAGGUGGAGGUUUAGUAAGUGUUCUGAAGAAAAUAACGACUUUGUUCAUAUUAUAAAACUUAGAAUUACUAGUAAACAAACAUUUUGUAAAACACUUGUCUGUUAUGUUAAAUGCUGUAAACCAAUCUAAAUAGUGUUUUUCGUACAUAAAUAUUGUUAGUAUGUUAUUGUCGUUAUUUGACAUUUCAGCUGUGUUAUCAACAUUAUGAUCUCUCUUUGUAAAGUUCUGUUUUUCAGACGUCCUUCCAAACGGUGAAUAAAUAUUUUGGAUGCCAUUUGAAAGUUUGUUUUCAAGAUCAGUGGACAUCAAUAGUUUGUGGUCAUGGUUAUACGUGCUGUUAUUAUAUUGCUUGAUGAUGAUAUUCAAGCAAUAUAAAGUAGACAAAUUAAUGAUGGUAACCAAAGCCUGUUUUAUCCGUGGAAUAUGAUGUUAUGUCUGCAAUAGAAAUA
rnacentral:lncRNA from 1 species